AUUAGGGGACUCACAAGUUGUCAUAACUGCAUCGUCAAAUUAUAAAGUCAGAAACUUUUGCACUAGUUUUAAAAAUUUGUUGUUGAUUUGCAUUCAAAAAUAAAUUUACGUAAAUAUAACUCUGUACGCUAUGUUUUCGUUUCGUUAUAAAUAAUCUGCUGAUUGCUAUUUACUUCAGUGUGUUUUGUAUUGUGGUUAGAUUUGUUUAUUGCUAUUUUCGACGGUUUUUGGCUAAAUGGAGCAGUUUAAUAUUAUACAUGUAAAAUGCAUAAUAAAUACUAUUUUAUUAAAGAAAUGUGUUUUUAGACAAAAGCAAAGCAGGUGCGGUCCAACCCAACAAGAAAAUCGCUGCUAGAAGAAGACAAAUCAUUGGUUGAAUUCGUAACCCAAAACAGGGAUUUUGAGAAGAUAACGUCUUAAAUAGAAAUGGUGGACUGGAAGGUGACACGCUCGAAGCUUCGGUAUAUGCGUACAACAUAUACAGAAAUGUUGGAUGGCUUACCAGGUGAAGGGAGUAUGGAAACCGAAACCAUAAAAUCUAAGAUUAUGAUUUGUCAUUUAAACUAGAAUUUCAUUGUUUCUGCAUGCGUAUAGAAGUAAAGAAAAUAAAAAGUAUUGAGGAGAUUGUAAA